CCUUGGCCUCCCAAAGUGUUGGAAUUACAGGCAUGAGCCACCGCUCCUGGCCUAGAGAAUUCUUUUAUAGGACUCUACACGUGUAAAACUAUUCAAAUUCAAUUUUUUGUGAACUUUUAUUAAAAAAUUUGUCCACUACUUUGUUGCUUAGAUUCAUAUGGCUUUUUGAGAAACAUGCUAACUUUGCCUUUACUAUGCUGAAAUUGGAUCAUUCUUUUUUCCACUAGGCUUCAGAAAAGGAUGUUAUAUUACAAAAACACUUCUGGACCAAAAAAGAGAAUUGCACAGUCUGGCAAAUUUGAUAAUAUUCACUCACAACGGACCUACAUCUGGAUGUAGUUCUUUCAAGAGAAAAUCCAACUGCAAAACCAACCAGAUCAUUCAUUCCUGUCAAAAGUAUUGCUUCUCUUUCUGUAUAGGUGUUAAAAAGCAAUAUACUUAGCAGCAUCUAAGAAGAUCUGUUGUCGAUGUGGAAAAACAUAUGGUGUGACUCCCUCAGGUUGACACAGCAGGGUAGAAGAGUGUAACUACCACGUUGGCCAAGUGUUGAAUCAUAAAGGCAAGUAUUUGGUAGUUCUGUUUGGUUUGACAAGCCAGUGCCACAGCUGUUCAGAAAAAAGUGGGAUG
rnacentral:lncRNA from 1 species